rnacentral:misc_RNA from 1 species
UUUGUGCUCUACGGUUUCAGUGCGGAUCGCAGACAACCGGGUGGCCGGGCUUACGCAUGGCAUGUUCAUUCUAUGAGUUAAUAAUUAGUCUGAGAGCGCGAUGAUGGUUUAUGCGUUCCCACUGUUCACCCAAGCCGCUCGUUAAAGUUACCCAGGCGUGGCGUUCCCUCUUUUUGUCUUCGAUGUGUGUGCACCGUCUGGCGGCUUCCGUCGCAGCAGGGCCACUGUGAAACGACGUCGACGAAGGACAUGUUCUUCCCGUCUCGCUCGUCGCGCGACAAUAUGUGGCAUGAGGCAAGGAAGCAGGAGCGCAAGAUACGGGGCAUGCUUGUCGACCUCAAGAAGCGGGCCGAGCGCCGGAAGGAGUUUUACGAGCGAAUUAAGCAAGACCCGGCCCAGUUCCUUCAGCUUCAUGGGCGGCGUUGCAAGAUACACAUCGACCUGGCAAUUGCGCAAGCUGCUGACAGCCCAGUCACUAUGAUGCCAUGGCAGGGAAAUCGGGACGUGAUGAUCGACCGAUUUGAUGUCCGCGCCCACCUGGACACAAUACCAGAGUUCAAGCACUCUGAUGAUGGCCCAGAGCUGACCGAAGAGCAAAAGGAAGAAGAGAGGCAGAUCAACUAUGAGCGCUAUCGCACGCUUGUUCAGAAUGAUUUCCUAGGAGUGUCAGAGGACAAGUUCUUGCAUCAGAUCUUCUUGGAGGAACGCUAUGGCCCUGUCGGGAAGCCUGUUGGCACCACGGAGGAGGAAAAAAAAAAGCUUGCUGAGAAGAAGGCGGCGAUUGGCUACACGUAUGAGGACAGCACACCUGCUCCCUCGACGUCGUCCAAUCAGAAUGAUGAGCCAGAAGAGGAAGAAGAUAAAGAGGACCUCAGUGAUAUUGAUCUUGAUGUGACUGUUGACGUGAACGAACUCACCAUUGAGCAGGCACGGGAGAUGAACGACCAGUCGCACGCCUAUGGCAUGGAGUCCACGGAUUUCAUUUCGUACCUUCACCUGGACAAGGAGGAGCAGGAAAGACUGAAGCAAGCUAGGGAGCUCGAAGAAGAGAAAGCCAUGUACUCGGGUCGGAAGUCGCGCCGGGAGAGGCGGGCUCUGCGAGAGAAGAAACUCAAGAAUCGUAAGGUCACCAGCCCACCAAGCUAUGCAGCCAGAGCCAGCCCAACGUACAAGCCGUUCAGAGCCCAGUCAAGUUCCCGGUCACGAUCUAGAUCUCCCCAGAACAUGGGUGAGAUCACCUUCAUCACAAGCUUUGGUGAUGAAGGGUCCGACGACGAUGAUGGCGCCGCCAAGAAAGGCCAUGCGAAAGCUGGCGGACCUUCAACAGCUGGUGCCGGCGGUGGAACUUCGUCGUCGGGAAGCAGGGCUGCCGCAGCGUCCUCCAGGUGUGACGGUGGUCGUGGAAGUGGCGGCUUCUCCAGGCGAAGGUCACGAGACCGUUCGAGGUUAGGAAGGUCUAGGGAUCGUCAUGCUGGCUCAUCUCACGGUUCGAGCCGAGGGCGUCUGUCGUCCAGAAGGCGUUCCUCAAGUUCCAGGUCGUCGUCUGGCGGCAGGGUUCGCCGCAGAAGCCGUAGCCGAGGCCGCGCAUCGUACCGUUCCAGGCGAGGUUCCAGGCGGCGAUCCCGGUCACUGCGACUGAGCUCGCCACGUCAUCGGGGCCGCUGGACUUCAUCACGCAGUCGUUCAAGGUCGCGGUCCAGGCACUGGGGGCACGGCCGGAAGCGUUCCACUUCAUCUCCGAGGUCGCCGAAGGGUCAUGAGCGGGAGCGAAGGUCGCGGUCGCGAUCGUCACCGCCGCCUGCCCCACGCAAGCUGCCGAGCCCACCCCGAAAGUCUUACUACCGUCACAGCCUGUCGCGGUCGCGGUCAAAGUCACUGAGCAGCAGCGACGACGAGGAAAAGAAGAAGAACCGGUCACGCAGCAACAGCACCAGCAGUGAGACGUCAAAGGGUCAGCAGGGCUCGGCGGGUGCCUCCAACGGCACUCGCCGCAACUGGCCGUCGGCGGACGCGGUGAGACCCAACGUCUCUGUGGGUAAACCAGGUCCUGCCUCCAAAACACCAGCAGGUGCCAGUGCAGCAGCUGGUGGAGGAACGGGAGGUCUCACGUUGAGGGAGAAGCUCAAGCGAAAGAUGCAGGCUGCUCUCAACAAGCAGUACAAGGCCGACAAGCGGGCUGAGCGUGAGAAGCAGGACAAGAUUCAGCAGGAACGCUGGGAUCGGGCUGAGGAACUGCGGGGAAUGGCCCUCCGUCUUCGCCAGAGGUAGGUCCGGCGUCUUUCUCGAACUGCUCCUCCUUCGCCGAAAAUCUCCCGUUGGACGGGCCCGAUCCAAUGAUGACAGAGAUGGGAACGGGAGAAGAGGCACAAGGAAAGGGACGACUAUGACUACGAACCCGAUGGAAGCCGAGACGGCCGUGACGGCUACUCCAGUCGCUCUGGCAGCCGCUCGCGAAGCCAAAGUCUAAGCCCUGAACCCCGCCCCCCAGGCGAGUCG